rnacentral:rRNA from 1 species
UACGAAGGGGGCUAGCGUUGCUCGGAAUCACUGGGCUUAAAGGGCGCGUAGGCGGGCUCGCAGGUCAGGGGUGAAAGCCCACGGCUCAACCGUGGAAGUGCCUUUGAUACCGUGAGUCUCGAGGGAGGUAGGGGCGUGCGGAACUUCCGGUGGAGCGGUGAAAUGCGUAGAUAUCGGAAGGAACAUCGGUGGCGAAAGCGGCGCGCUGGACCUCUUCUGACGCUGAGGCGCGAAAGCCAGGGGAGCAAACGGG